GUCGUACAUCAUGCACGACACCACACUAGAAUUAAGGCAACGACCGAACUAGGCCGUGACAGAUUAAAGCCAUUGGAGACAACCUCUCCAAGGCGUUUUCUUUUCUGCAUAGUCUGAUUCCAGAGCAACACUUACGAUACCGGACAGCGUUGCUCCGCUCACUAACUCCGUUGGCCACCGACGAGAUUAGGUAUGAUAAUUGGAAUAU